GGUAUAGCUCAGUGGUAGAGUGCUUGCUUAGCACGCACAGCAUGCAUGAGGUUCUGGGUUCAGUCCCCAGUACC
rnacentral:tRNA from 1 species